GGUGUGUUUCGAGAAAGGGUAAUCGACUGCCUUUGGAGCGCAGAAUAUGUAGGUUCGAGUCCUACCGCACCG
rnacentral:tRNA from 1 species